UACCUGGUUGAUUCUGCCAGUAGUCAUAUGCUUGUCUCAAAGAUUAAGCCAUGCAUGUCUAAGUAUAAGCAAUUAUACCGCGAAACUGCGAAUGGCUCAUUAUAUAAGUUAUCGUUUAUUUGCUAGCACAUUACUACAUGGAUAACUGUGGUAAUUCUAGAGCUAAUACAUGCUAAAACUCCCGACUUCGGAAGGGAUGUAUUUAUUAGAUUAAAAGCCAACGCCCUUCGGGGCUUC
rnacentral:rRNA from 1 species